CCGCCUUUGUGACGACAGCUCCUUCUCUAGCACCAGGGGUGGCAAGUGACCUUGUGCGUGGGUGGUGGACGAGAUCUUGUUGGACAAGAUGAAGGUUGACAAGAAGCAGAUUGGUUAAUCCAACGAAACAAGAUGCUUCUACAGCUGAUGGAGGGAGGACAGCAAGCCUGCUUGAGCUUGCCUGGCCUGGAGCAUCUACGCAAAUCUUGCUCCAGGUUUGUGCUAGUUGCAGCACAGGGCUUGUGUAUAUGCUGCGAUGGCGGAGAUGAUAGAUGGCAAGUUGGCACGGGAGGAGCAGCAGCAGCUUU